UACGUAGGGUGCUAGCGUUGUCCGGAAUUAUUGGGCGUAAAGAGCUCGUAGGCGGUCUGUCGCGUCGGCUGUGAAAACCCGGGGCUCAACCCCGGGCCUGCAGUCGAUACGGGCAGACUAGAGUGCGGUAGGGGAGACUGGAAUUCCUGGUGUAGCGGUGAAAUGCGCAGAUAUCAGGAGGAACACCAGUGGCGAAGGCGGCCGGCUGGGGGCGCCCUGACGCUGAGGCGCGAGAGCGUGGGGAGCGAACCGG
rnacentral:rRNA from 1 species